GACGAACGCUGGCGGCGUGCUUAACACAUGCAAGUCGAACGAAGAGCGAUGGAAGCUUGCUUCUAUCAAUCUUAGUGGCGAACGGGUGAGUAACGCGUAAUCAACCUGCCCUUCAGAGGGGGACAACAGUUGGAAACGACUGCUAAUACCGCAUACGAUCUAAUCUCGGCAUCGAGGAUAGAUGAAAGGUGGCCUCUACAUGUAAGCUAUCACUGAAGGAGGGGAUUGCGUCUGAUUAGCUAGUUGGAGGGGUAACGGCCCACCAAGGCGAUGAUCAGUAGCCGGUCUGAGAGGAUGAACGGCCACAUUGGGACUGAGACACGGCCCAGACUCCUACGGGAGGCAGCAGUGGGGAAUCUUCCGCAAUGGACGAAAGUCUGACGGAGCAACGCCGCGUGAGUGAUGACGGCCUUCGGGUUGUAAAGCUCUGUUAAUCGGGACGAAAGGCCUUCUUGCGAAUAGUGAGAAGGGUUGACGGUACCGGAAUAGAAAACCACGGCUAACUACGU
rnacentral:rRNA from 1 species